UUCGGGGCAGGGCCAUUAAGAGCACAGAUUCUGCUUUACUUUCCUCAACUUGGUAUUAUGAAAAUUUUAAAAUAUUCGGUAAAGUUGUAAGAGUAGUACAACAAAGACCACCUAGAUUCAACAGCUAACAUUUUGGGAAGACGGGUCACCUAUCCAUCUACCUACCUAUCGCACUAUCGUCUAUUUGCAGGACAGGUGAUACUGAUUCGACAUUUAGAAUCUUGAAAUAAAGUUUCCUUUUUUAAAAAAGAAUCUUGAAAAACAAAUUCACUGGCUGAGAUAAGACUGUGAACUGAUUCAUCUUGGAUUAAAUGGUCCAAUCAGCUACAACCACAAGAAUAGAGCUUACAGCACAAAUAGCGCUAUCUAUUAGAUAAGGUCUAAUAGUGGACACUUGCAAAGGAGACAUGGAUUAAUAAGCAGACACUCCAACUUGAUCUCAGCCUCCUUCUCUGCUAAGAAAGUGGCAAGAAUUCUUCAUCCAGUGUGCCUAGGAGAAUUACUCUGGUUUGGUUUGAAUAAUCGGAGCCCCAUGUUGUUUGACUCUAUGCUGGAAACCUCAUGUCUUAACUUUUUAUUCUAAAGCCCUAAGCUUUGUUCUGAA